AAGGGUAUAGUUCAGUGGGUAGAGCACAUGCUUAGCAUGCAUGAGGUCCUGGGUUCAAUCCCCAGUACCUCCU
rnacentral:tRNA from 1 species